rnacentral:rRNA from 1 species
UACAGAGGUCUCAAGCGUUGUUCGGAUUCAUUGGGCGUAAAGGGUGCGUAGGUGGCGAGGUUAGUCAGGUGUGAAAUCUCGGGGCUCAACCCCGAAACUGCACUUGAUACUGCCUUGCUAGAGUACUGGAGAGGAGAUUGGAAUUUACGGUGUAGCAGUGAAAUGCGUAGAUGUCGUAAGGAACGCCAGUGGCGAAAGCGAAUCUCUGGGCAGCAACUGACGCUGAGGCACGAAGGCCAGGGGAGCAAACGGG